rnacentral:rRNA from 1 species
GACGAACGCUGGCGGCGUGCCUAAUACAUGCAAGUCGAGCGAUGAUUAAAGAUAGCUUGCUAUUUUUAUGAAGAGCGGCGAACGGGUGAGUAACGCGUGGGAAAUCUGCCGGGUAGCGGGGGACAACGUUUGGAAACGAACGCUAAUACCGCAUAACAAUGAAAAUCGCAUGAUUCUUAUUUGAAAGAAGCAAUUGCUUCACUACUUGCUGAUCCCGCGUUGGAUUAGCUAGUUGGUAGUGUAAAGGACUAACAGGGCGAUGAUACAUAGCCGACCUGAGAGGGUGAUCGGCCACACUGGGACUGAGACACGGGCCAGACUCCUACGGGAGGCAGCAGUAGGGAAUCUUCGGCAAUGGGGGCAACCCUGACCGAGCAACGCCGCGUGAGUGAUGAAGGUUUUCGGAUCGUAAAACUCUGUUGUUAGGGAAGAACGUUAAGUAGAGUGGAAAAUUACUUAAGUGACGGUAGCUAACCAGAAAGGGACGGCUAACUACGUGCCAGCCGCCGCAGUAA